AGAAUUUUAGAAAUUAUUUUGGGAUUCUUUGGAUGAAAAUGGAAUUACUAUGAACUUUAAAAGAAAAAGAAAUUAAAAAUAAUAAAAGAAAAAGAAUUAAAAGCAGAAAAAACACGAAGCGUUGAAUCACACAUCAUUAAUUGAUGUGGCAGAUCUAACACUCCAUAUGUCAAAGAACACGAUGGAAUGCGCUGCAAGCCAAACACAUGAU
rnacentral:lncRNA from 1 species